AACUUAAAGGCUUUGAUCAUUAAGUCCAUGAUGCUUCCUUCCAACAUGUUGAUAACCAUGCUAAUUGAAGGUCUAUUUUCUGGCUUUAUCUGUAUGCACCAUAAACCCAUUAUCAUCAUCUUUUUUGCAAUUUCUUUAGUCUUAGGAUUAGCAUCAGUCUCAGGACUAACAAGACUGGUAUCAGGAGUGACCAAAUCAUAGUACUUAUCAAAAUUAUCAUAAACCCAGUCUGGUGUUAGAUUGGGUUUAUGACAAUUUUAUGUGCAUAUGCAAUUUGUAUCAUCUUCAGGAACUGGCAAAUGGUCAAAACAAGUUUAAUAAUAAGGAGCACACAUAUAGCUUGAUAUCUGAAUUGCUUCCCUUGCUGAAACAUAUCUAUCAGAACCAAUUAAAUGAACUGGAAGUAAAGCAAGGGGAUCAAGAAGGUGGAUUUUCUGGUGUACUUCUUCGAGUAUAUGAGCCUCACAAUGAGCUUGUUAACUGGUAUGUCUU